UGCACUCAAUGUCCUGACCUCCUC
rnacentral:piRNA from 1 species